UAGUCCAUGCCGUAAACGUUGGGAACUAGAUGUAGGGGCCAUUCCACGGUUUCUGUGUCGCAGCUAACGCAUUAAGUUCCCCGCCUGGGGAGUACGGCCGCAAGGCUAAAACUCAAAGGAAUUGACGGGGGCCCGCACAAGCGGCGGAGCAUGCGGAUUAAUUCGAUGCAACGCGAAGAACCUUACCAAGACUUGACAUAUACGAGAACGGGCUAGAAAUAGUUCACUCUUUGGACACUCGUAAACAGGUGGUGCAUGGUUGUCGUCAGCUCGUGUCGUGAGAUGUUGGGUUAAGUCCCGCAACGAGCGCAACCCUCGUUCUUUGUUGCCAGCACGUAAUGGUGGGAACUCAAAGGAGACUGCCGGGGUCAACUCGGAGGAAGGUGGGGAUGACGUCAAAUCAUCAUGCCCCUUAUGUCUUGGGCUUCACGCAUGCUACAAUGGCCGAUACAAAGGGCUGCAAUACCGCGAGGUGGAGCGAAUCCCAAAAAGUCGGUCUCAGUUCGGAUUGAGGU
rnacentral:rRNA from 1 species